rnacentral:lncRNA from 1 species
CUCGGGCGAGCAGGGCCCUUCGCUCCGGGAGGGGAGGUGACGCGGCGCGGGCUGGACGGCCGGAGACGCGGGGUCAGGGCGCGGACGAGGGGAGCGCAGGGUCGGAGGGGCUCCCGGACGCUGCCCGCCCAGCGUCGGCUCUCGUUGGCCCCUGGCUGCGCGCAGCGGGCCCGACUCUCAGGGCCCUGCGGUGCCCGCUGCCAGCGUGAGGGCUCCGGUCACGCGGCGCGCGAGACGAACGAGCGAGAUGCUUCCCGAAGCGCGGGGCCCAGUGCAGGGGCUCAGCCGGGGCUCCUCCCAAAGCUCACCUGGAGCCCAGCACGACUGCGUUCUGGAAACGCUGUGUUUGACAGCAGGGGCAGGAUGGGGGGCUGUGUAGACGCUGGCCACGUGGCAAUUGUAGGAGAACCAUGGGAUCGAUAAAUGUUCACUGUUGUCCCUGAAGCGCAAAACUGCAGGGCUCUGGAAAGUCCGUGUGUGUGUUUUUGUUGUUUUUGUUUGUUUGAGACAGAGUCUCGCUCUGUCACCCAGGCUGGAGUGCGGUGGCGCGAUCUCUGCUCACUGCAACCUCCGCCUCCCGGGUUCAAGCGAUUCUCCUGCCUCAGCCUCCCGAGUAGCUGGGACUGCAGGCGGCCGCCACGACGCCCGGCUAAUUUUUUGUAUUUUUAGUAGAGACGGGGUUUCACCGUGUUAGCCAGGAUGGUCUUGAUCUGACCUCGUGAUCUGCCCGCCUCGGCCUCCCAGAGUGCUGGGAUUACAGGCGUGAGCCACCGCGCCUGGCCGAAAAGUCCGUUUUAAAAGAUGAUGUAUACAAAUUAUAGCACGGAGAGGGAACGGGCAAGUUGUUUCCUCUUUCCAUGCCUCCAACUCCUCUGAAAUGUGGGUCAUGAUGAUAAUAGGAAAAACUGUCUCUGCCAUAGAGAGGUGGAAAAAGUCCCGCGAAGUGUCCCCGGUAUCUAGAAAGCGCUCAGUAGUGUUUGCUGUUAUCUUAGGGAUAUCAGGCUGCCUGGACAUUUCUCAGAGGAUGAAGGGGAUUGUAGUAAGGAAGACCACCUUCCAGAGGAUGAAGGGGAUUGUAGGAAGGAAGACCACCUUCCCGGGGCUGGGCAAGGCUGCGGUACUGUCUCUCAUCAGGUCCAGGAGGACUCAGCAGGCUGAUGCAGAGGGACACAGCGCAUCCGCCUUGGUGGAUGCAUGGCUUUCCUGGCUCCCCUGGGACGGGGGAGGAGGGUGAAGAUGGAGGGAAUCUGGCUGGCUGGGCCUUGUGUACUGGGGGGUGGAGGGCCCAUUUGACUGCAGGAAUUGCUCAAGCACAUAAGCACCUUGAAGUGUGUUACUAAGAUACAAGAAACAGGUUUGCUUUUGCCUAUUCCAGCAUGGUGUACCUCUCUUAGGAUACCUUUUAGCACAGGUAGCAGAAUACCAGCCAGCCUCCUGUGGCUCACAGCAUUAAGAUAUUUAAUCAUCUGACAUUACAUGAAGUCCAGUGUUAGGCAGGCAGGAGCUGCUCCCGUGACUCAGUGACAUCAGGUUGGUCCACAUCCUAGCAGUUCUCUUGGUGUUCCUGCGUGAUCAAAGGAUGACUGCCACACCCCAGCCUGCUGACCUCAGCCCUGGCGUGGGCAUAGGAGGGUCUGCGUGGCUGAGCAUCCAGUGUCCUUCGUACUGCCACUGACAGCCUCAGGCCUGAUUUCCAGCACUGUCUGUCCAGGAGCAAUGGGAGCAAGAGUCACUCCACGAGACUCUGGAGGCCUGAUAGACAAAAUACAUGAAGACCAGUUUCUACACAGAGAAUCACUAAAAGAUGGCCAGGCGCGGUGGCUCACGCCUGUAAUCCCAGCACUUUGGGAGACCGAGGCGGGCGGAUCACAAGGUCAGCAGAUCGAGACCAUCCUGGCUAACAUGGUGAAACCCCAUCUCUACUAAAAAUACAAAAAAUUAGCCCGGCGUGGUGGCGGGCGCCUGUAGUCCCAGCUUUUCGGGAGGCUGAGGCAGGAGAAUGGCAUGAACCUGGGAGGCAGAGCUUGCAGUGAGCCAAGAUCACACCACUGCACUCCAGCCUGGGCGACAGAGCGAGACUCCAUCUCAAAAAAAAAAGAAUCAGUAAAAGAUAUAAAGGAGAAAAGGACAGAACCACAAAUAGGCAACAAAUAUGUUAAAAAAAAGUUUAGCUUCACUUAAAAUGAAAUAAAUGUGAUUAAAAUAUUUAAGGUUGGCUUUUUCCCCCCUCUAAUGAGUUAGCGAAGGUUAAACAUUUAAAAAGCCUGAUGAAAUCUAGGGUUGGCAGAAGUAUGGAAAGCAACCAGUGGCCAUGCUGGUUGGUAUAACCUUCCCUUUGGGCAAUUCAUUUAUAAGUAUCAGCACUUAAAAUGUGCAAUACUCGGCCAGGCAUGGUGGCUCACACUGUAAUUCUAGCACUUUGGGAGGCCGAGGCGAGUGGAUGAUGAGGUCAGGAGUUCGAGACCAGCCUGGCCAACAUAGUGAAAACCGGUCUCUACUAAAAAUACAAAAAAAAUUGGUAGGGCUUGGUGGCGGGCGCCUGUAGUCCCAGCUACUUGGGAGGCUGAGGCAGGAGAAUCGCUUGAACCCAGGAGGAGGAGAUUGCAGUGAGCCGAGAUUGCGCCACCGCACUCCAGCCUUGCGACAGAGCAAGACUCCGUCUCAAAAAAAAAGGACUGGUAAGACAAUGUGGUAUUCUUGCUCCUCCUCCCACUGUUAGUUGUGGGUAUAAUGUUUCUCCCAUUCAACCUGGGUCGGCCCCAGUGACUUGCUUGACCAAUAGAAUGUAGUGAGGUGAUGUCUUAGGGCUACCAAAGUGAGGUCACAAGAGCCGGUGGCUUCCACCCCAGCCUCCUGGGACUCUGUGAGACCCGCUGCUACUGAGACUGCUGUGCUGGAGAGGCCACAUGUGGGUGUUCUGGCCCACGGUGCCAGCUGACAUCAGCCUUCCAGCCACCCCAGUGAUCUCUUUUCUGUCACACUGGACAGGACAGUCACCUGGUGGAGCUGCUGAAAUUCCUGGCACGCUGUCACAUAUAACAAAAUAGUUCUUGGCGGCACGGUGGCUCACGCCUGUAAUCCCAGCACUUUGGGAGGCCAAGGUGGGUGGAUCACAAGGUCAGGAGUUCAAGACCAGCUUGGCCAAUUUGGUGAAAGCCCAUCUCUACUAAAAAUACAAAAAUUAGCUAGGCAUGAUGGCACGCGCCUGUAGUCCCACCUACUCAGGAGGCUGAGGCAGCAGAAUUGCUUGAACCCAGGAGGUGGAGGUUGCAGUGAGCUGAGAUCGCGCCACCACACUCCAGCCUGGGUGACAGAGCAAGAUUCCGUCUAAAAAAAAAUGGUUCUUUUAAACCACUAAGUUUUCAGGGGUCUGUAAGGCGGUGAUACAUAAUGGGAACAGAUACUUGCAGUUCUAUGUAUAGCCAUGUUCAUUACAGCAUGAUUUAUGAUACUGAAAUAUUGGGAACAUCUGUAAAGAGUUUGUUAAAGUCUGAUACACCACUACAAUGAAAUAGAUCUAGUCAGUGGGACAAAGCAGGGUGAGUAAAGCAGGGCCAGAUGCUCACAAGGAGUAUUCAGCUAAAAAUGUAAGACAGGCUGGGUGCGGCAGCUUAUACCUAUAGUCCCAGCAUUUGCGGAGGCCAAGGCAAGAAGAUUGCUUGAGCCCAGGAGGUCAAGCUGCAGUGAACUGUGAUCACACCACUGUCCUCCAGCCUGGGCGACAAUGUGAGAUCCUGUCUCAAAAAACAAAACAGGCUGGGCUCGGUGUCUCAUGCCUGUAAUCCCACCACUUUGGAAGGCCGAGGCGGGCAGAUCACGAGGUGAGGAGUUCGAGACCAGCCUGGCCAACAUAGUGAAACCCCGUGUCUACUAAAAAUACAAAAAAUUAGCCGGGUGUGGUGGUGGGUGCCUGUAAUCCUAGCUACUCGGGAGGCCAAGGCCGGAGAAUCGCUUGAACCUGGGAGGUGGAGGUUGCAACAAGCCGGGAUCUCGCCACUGCACUCCAGCCGGGGUGACAGUGCAAGACUCCAUCUCAAAAACAAAAACAAAAACAAAAACCCCCCAAAACAAAAAACAAAACAGAAUGAAAAGUAGUAGAAAAAUGGUGAGUCAGUAAAAGAACAACCCCAUGAAAAAAUGGGCAAAAGUGCUGGGUGCGGUGGCUCAUGUCUGUAAUCCCAGCACUUGGGGAGGCUGAGGCUGGAGGAGUGCUUGAACCCAGGAGUUGGAGACCAGCCUGGGCAACAUAGAUACCCCAACUCUACAGAAAAAAAAUUAAAAAUUAGCCAGGUGUCAUGGUGUGUGCUUGUAGUCCCAGAUAUUGAGGGCUGAGGCAACAGGUCCUUUGAACCCAGGAGGUCGAGGCUGCAUGAGCCAUGAUUGUGCCACUGCACUUCAGCCUGGGUGACAGAGCAAGACCCUGACUCUAAAAAUAAUAAUAACCAAGGCUGGGUGUGGUGGCUUAUGCCUCUCAUCCCAGCACUUUGGGAGGCCGAGGCGGGCAGAUCACAAGGUCAAGAGAUAGAGACCAUCCUGGCCAAUGUGGCGAAACCUUGUCUCUACUAAAAAUACAAAAAUUAGCUGGGCAUGGUGGCAGGCACCUGUAAUCCCAGCUGCUUGGGAGGAAGAGGCAGGAGAAUCGCUUUAACCCAGGAGGCGGAGGUUGCAGUGAGCCGAGAUUGCGCCACGGCACUCCAGCUUGGGUGACAGAGAGACAGACUCCGUUUCAAAAUAAUAAUAAUAAUAUAAUAAUCAAAAAUUGGAAGUAACCAAGAUGCUCUUUAAUAAGUACAUGGGUGGCCAGGGGCUGUGGCUCAUGCCUGUAAUCCUAGCACUUUGGGAGGCCGGGGCAGGCGGAACACAAGGCCAGGAGAUCAAGACCAUCCUGGCUAACACGGUGAAACCCCAUGUGUACUAAAAAUACAAAGAAUUAGACAGGCGUGGUGUCGGGCGCCUGUAGUCCCAGCUACUCGGGAGGCUGAGGCAGGAGAAUGGCAUGAACCCGGGAGGCGGAGCUUGCAGUGAGCCGAGAUCCUG